CUGGCCAUGGCCGCGGGCGCGCCCGCCCCGUCACUUGUGUCGCUUCAUGGCCCGGCGGCGGUGACGGCGGGCUGGGACCUCCUUGUCGCGAAUGGGGAGGUUUUUUUGGCAGGACAGGUUUGCCCCUGUCCCCCAAAUCCCGGGGACAAGAGCAAGCCCCGAUGACACCCUCGGAUCAGACCCACUCUGCAUGCCACCACCAGGCUGGAGCUGCCACAUCUCUCCCAGCCGUGAGGUCCUCGUGGGGAAGGAGCCUCUCAAGGUCACCCCAAAAGGGAGAUUUGAAGGAGGCCAGAACGGCCUCGGGCCGACACUUGGCAAGGGAUGUCUGCGCUCCAGGAGGGAGAAAUUCCUCGUGUAUAAACCCUUUUUUAAAGCCCACAGAGCCCCGUUUUUAUAGGCAUGAAAGAGGGCAGAGAAGCGGAAACGCUGCGUUCUUAGUUUGCAUUAUUUCCUACUAGAACAAGGGCGGGACCAUCACAGCGAGGAAGAGCCUGACAAACCUCCCUGGCCCUCUGAAAGCACACGCCUGUCACCAUCACUCCAAAGCCCACGUGUCACCCCAGUCCCAGCGGCUGGAGGGGCCGUGUCUCCCCCAGCCCCCCCAUACUGGCACACCCCCACGGAGAGGCACCAAAACCCCGUGGAAAUGUAAUUUUCCCCAUCACUCGCACCGAAGCAAAGCCCCAUGGCAGGACAGCUCCUUUUUCCCACCCCUUCCUGGCACUGGGACCCUCCUGUCCUCGCCGGGGACACCCCGGGUGCGCCCCCAGGGCCGGGGGCGGGUGGCCGUAAUGCCCCUCAAGGACAGCCUUAAUCCCCGUCUGGAGAGCGCUGCCGCUGUCCCCGCCACAGCCGGUGCCGCUGAGAUCCCUGCUUAGCACAAGGCAGCGAGAGGCGGCGGGGGCACGGCAGGGCGGCUGCCCGGGGAGAUUGUGCUGCGGUGAACCAGCCACAGCUUCUACCCUGUGCCACGGCCUCAACCUCUCACAGCAAAGAAAUUCUCCCCAAUAUUCAGUUGAAUCCCGCUCUUUGUCAGUUUGAAGCCAUUCCCUGUGUCGUGUCCCUCCAUCCCUUGUUCCCAGUCCCUCACCAGCUCUCUUGAUGCCCCUACAGGCGCUGGGAGAGGCUCUGAGCUCUCCCUGGAGCCUUUUUAUCCCCAUCUCUCCCAGGCUGUGCGGACAGUGCCCGCCCUGCCGCGCUCUCCGCCUGCCCUUGAACUUUAAGAAGUGAUUAAAGCCGUGCCCAGGAGGUACCGAGAGGCUGCGGCUGAGCACGGGACACCCGCGGCACCCUCGGGCACCCACCGGCUGCCAGGAACACGGCUGCCCUUUAAAUAAAACACGGAACUGAAGCUGAAAGCUGCCGCGGCCACUUCCUCGGAGGAGCCGCCGGCACUCCCGGCCCCGCAGCCUCCGCCGAGCCCGGCCGUGCCUCCGAGCCGCCUCCGCAGCCCCUGACGAAACCCUCCCGGAAUCCUCCGGCCCCGGCAGGGAGGAGGCACCUCCAGAUGAAAAGUUACGACAAGUUUCCUCGGGGCCACGAAGGCUGCGAUGGCGUGGGGAGGACACGCCUCGGCAAGGAGCGGCGUGUCCCGCAUCCUCCCGCCGUGUCCCGCAUCCUCCCGGUGUGUCCCAUGUCCUCGGCCGCAGGGACCCCGCCGGGGCUGGGGGUUCCCCCGCUCCGCCCAGGGACCCCAAGCAGCUCCCGGCUGCGAGCCAGCCCAGCCCGAGCCGGGCUCAGCAGAGCCGGGAGCUCUGGAUGCGGCCCCGGGAUGGGGCCCGCGGGCUCUGCCUCCAGCUGUGCCUCCAGCUGUGCCUGCGGCGGCUCCCCGGGGCCUCUCCUUCCUUCCAGCUGCAGCAGGGCGGCUUGCAGGGAGCAGCCGAGCCAUCCCCGCCCCCCCCGGGCACAGCUGGGGCACAUCUGGCCCGAGGGCACCGCUGCAGAGGCGCCCCCAGCCCCACGAGCGC